GAUGAAGAACGCAGCGAAAUGCGAUACUUGGUGUGAAUUGCAGAAUCCCGUGAACCAUCGAGUCUUUGAACGCAAGUUGCGCCUCAAGCCAUUAGGUUGAGGGCACGUCUGCCUGGGCGUCACAUAUCGUUGCCUGAUGCCAGUUUCCUCGUGAUGGGUGACUGUGCAGGGCGAAUGAUGGCUUCCCGUGAGCAUUGUUGCCUCAUGGUUGGUUGAAAAUUGAGCCCUUGGUAGGGAGCGCCGUGAUAGAUGGUGGUUGAGUGACGAACGAGACCCAAUCAUGUGAGACCCCUACCGAAUUUGGCCUUCAUGACCCACAUGCGUCUUUGGAACGCUCAUGACGAGACCUCAGGUCAGGCGGGGCUACCCGCUGAGUUUAAGCAUAUCAAUAAGCGGAGGA
rnacentral:misc_RNA from 1 species